GUUUAGUAACCUGGGGUUAAGAUAACUCUGCCACCCGGGUUCAUAAAGCAGCAGAUAAUUUAGCUGUUAAUUGUUAAUUUCACGGAUUAUCUCAAUUUGCUGAAACGAGGUAAAACUUUAACAGAAGUUUUGCUGCCUAAACGCACAGAGGUUUUAUCUUUCCGUAGCUUUCCUUGUUUAGAUAUUAAAAAGAACCAAGUUCCUUUCUAAUUAAUUAUUUUUGGUGAUAACGAAGUAAUCCUUUUGGCCUUUUUUUGGUUAAAAAAGCAUUUUUUUCAGGUCUGCAAUCGUGCUCGUAGUUAUAAAUUGUUGGCUGCUGAAGGAAGGGUUGACAGUCCAGUAUUGAUCUCCCUGACGCAACACACAAAGAUAACUCUUUCACCUCGAAGCACCUUUCUGAGGCUCCCGUUAGCCCUUUUUGCCACCUUCUUGUGAGGAUUUAAUGCUCUCGUGGCACCUUCCGUGCAGUCCUGGCGAUGAUGGGGCUGUUCUCCAGCAC